AGUGUGUGUAUUCAGUAGUGUAAGUGUGAAUGUGUGUAUUCAGUAAUGCUAGUGUGUAUUCAGUAGUGUCAGUGUGUGUCAGUGUGUAUUUGUGUGUGUGUAUUCAGUAGUGUUAGUUUGUAGAAAGUGCUGGUUUAAUAUGAGUGACUUAUGGCUGAGAUUGUAACCGUGUUCAGUUCACAUUUGGAGUGAAUUGAAAUCGAAACAGAUGACAGGAAACGUGUGUGUGUGUGUGUGUGUGUGUGUGUGUGUGUGUGUGUGUGUGUGUGUCUAGGUAAGGCAAGUUCCUCUACAAGCCACACCAUGAGAAAACAAGCCUGGGAUGAGAACAAAUUGAUACAAAAACUUACAAUUUCCACCAAAAUCUAAUUCUAAAGCAUUUUUAUUUAUAAAGUAAAAUUCUUUUUUGACAUUUUGACCAAAUCAAUAGUGUUAUAAGAGUGUUAGGUGUCACUCCGAGGCUGUUUUGGAGCCCUGAAGAGCAGAAGCAGCUCCAGCGACGCCUACCUGCGUGUGUGUGUCCCCGCACCCCCUGAGCAGGAAGGCCGUGUGCUGAAGCCUGAGGCUCCGCCGGACACAGUGCGCUGUAGCGGAGCACCAGCGACGUCUUGCCCACGCAGCCUUCCCCUAACAGCACCACCUUGAAGGAGAAGGUCCUGUGGGCAGAAGUGGCAGCAGCACCGCCGCCAGCCGCCAUGGUGUAGAGAAGAUAAAAGGAGGAGUAGAGAGGAGUGGAGUGGAGGAGAGGAGAGAGAGAUCUCCUUCUUCAACUUAACAGGGAAAAGUCAACCUAUCGAACCGCCUUACAUUGAUAUAAUCCACAUACAUAUAAAGUAAAUCUGUAAGAAAACGGUCUAAAAAUAAUCUUCCUUGCUGAGAUUUUUGAUAUAAAAAUGGAAAAAAAAUACAGGACAAAAAUAAUAUUUCCGCCUCUUUCAGAUCUCUGUACUGCUCAGUCUGGUUAAUGGCGUCCUCUGCUACGUCACACUCCCGGAAUCAUAUGACCGAGCUGCUGCCCUGUGCCCCUUGUGACGUCACAGUCUGGCUCAGGCACAAUAGUGGCGCUGUUGUAUCGCUUUUCCAGUCAACGAUCUAAAAUAAAAUUUUUACAUUUUUCUGUUUUA